CCUACGGGUGGCAGCAGUCGAGAAUCAUUCACAAUGGGGGAAACCCUGAUGGUGCGACGCCGCGUGGGGGAAUGAAGGUCUUCGGAUUGUAAACCCCUGUCAUAUGGGAGCAAAUUAUAAAGUUAGUACCAUAGGUGGAAGACACUACUAACUCGGUGACAGCAGCCUCGGUAAGACAGAGGUCUCAAGCGUUGUUCGGAAUCACGGGGCGUAAAGCGUGCGUAGGCGGUUUCGUAAGUCGUGUGUGAAAGGCGCGGGCGCAACCCGCGGACGGCACAUGAAACUGCGAGGCUAGAGUAAUGGAGGGGGGAGCAGAAGUCUAGGUGUAGCGGUGAAAUGCGUAGAUAUGGAGAGGAACAC
rnacentral:rRNA from 1 species